GCCAGGUGUGGUGGUGUGCACCUGUAAUCCCAGUGACUUGGGAGGCUAAGGAAGGAGGAUAGUGAGUUCAAAGCCAGGCUCAGCAACUUAGCAAGGCCCUAAACACAUAGUGAGACCCUGUCUCAA
rnacentral:sRNA from 1 species